rnacentral:rRNA from 1 species
GGAUUAGGCAUGCAAGUCGAACGAGGGAGUAUCCCGAAAGGGAUACAGACCGAGUGGCGUAAGGGUGAGUAAUGCAUUGAUAACCUACCUUCAAGAUGAGGAUAACAACGUUUCGAGCAAUCGAAACUACCGAAAGGGUUGCUAAUACUCAAUAAAACAAUUAAUACUUCGGUAAUAAUAGUCAAAGGAUGGGAUCGUAAGAUCCUUUUACUUGGAGAGGGGUCAAUGUCCUAUCAGCUAGUUGGUAGGGUAACGGCCUACCAAGGCAAAGACGGGUAGCCGGCCUGAGAGGGUGGUCGGCCACAUUGGGACUGAGACACUGCCCAGACUCCUACGGGAGGCUGCAGUCGAGAAUCUUUCGCAAUGCCCGAAAGGGUGACGAAGCGACGCCGCGUGUGGGAAGAAGGCCUUCGGGUUGUAAACCACUGUCGGGAGUUAAGAAAUGUAAGGGUGUUAAUAGCGCCUUUACUUGACAAAGGCUCCGGAGGAAGCCACGGCUAACUCUGUGCCAGCAGCCGCGGUAAUACAGAGGCGGCAAGCGUUGUUCGGAAUUAUUGGGCGUAAAGAGCACGUAGGCGGCUUUGCAAGUCAGUUGUGAAAGCCUUCCGCUUAACGGAAGAACAGCAGCUGAUACUACAGAGCUUGAGUACGGGAGGGGAGAGUGGAACUUCUGGUGGAGCGGUGAAAUGCGUAGAUAUCAGAAGGAACGCCGGCGGCGAAAGCGAUUCUCUGGUCCGAAACUGACGCUGAGUGUGCGAAAGCUAGGGGAUCAAACGGGAUUAGAUACCCCGGUAGUCCUAGCCGUAAACGAUGGGCACUAAGUAGAGGGGUUUU